AUUGAACGCUGGCGGCAUGCCUUACACAUGCAAGUCGAACGGUAACAGGUCUUCGGAUGCUGACGAGUGGCGAACGGGUGAGUAAUAUAUCGGAACGUGCCCGAUCGUGGGGGAUAACGGAGCGAAAGCUUUGCUAAUACCGCAUAAGAUCUACGGAUGAAAGCAGGGGACCGCAAGGCCUUGCGCGAACGGAGCGGCCGAUGGCAGAUUAGGUAGUUGGUGGGAUAAAAGCUUACCAAGCCGACGAUCUGGAGCUGGUCUGAGAGGACGACCAGCCACACUGGGACUGAGACACGGCCCAGACUCCUACGGGAGGCAGCAGUGGGGAAUUUUGGACAAUGGGCGCAAGCCUGAUCCAGCCAUGCCGCGUGCAGGAUGAAGGCCUUCGGGUUGUAAACUGCUUUUGUACGGAACGAAAAGACUCUUUCUAAUAAAGAGGGUCCAUGACGGUACCGUAAGAAUAAGCACCGGCUAACUACGUGCCAGCCGCCGCGGUAAUAC
rnacentral:rRNA from 1 species